CUACGGGAGGCAGCAGUAGGGAAUAUUGCACAAUGGAGGAAACUCUGAUGCAGCGACGCCGCGUGAGUGAUGAAGGCCUUCGGGUCGUAAAGCUCUGUCGCAGGGGAAUAACACAAUGAAGGUACCCUGUAAGAAAGGAUCGGCUAACUUCGUGCCAGCAGCCGCGGUAAGACGAGGGAUCCUAGCGUUGUUCGGAAUCAUUGGGCGUAAAGCGGGUGUAGGUGGCUUUGUAAGUCAGGUGUGAAAGCCUAGGGCUCAACCCUAGAAGUGCAUUUGAUACUGCGAAGCUUGAGUGCUAGAGAGGUUACUAGAAUUGUUGGUGUAGUGGUGAAAUACGUAGAUAUCAACAGGAAUACCGGUGGCGAAGGCGGGUAACUGGCUAGACACUGACACUCAGACCCGAAAGUGCGGGGAUCAAACAGGAUUCGAAACCCUGGUAGUCC
rnacentral:rRNA from 1 species